rnacentral:rRNA from 1 species
UACGUAGGGGGCAAGCGUUAUCCGGAAUUACUGGGUGUAAAGGGAGCGUAGACGGCGUGCCAAGUCUGAUGUGAAAGGCCGGGGCUCAACCCCGGGACUGCAUUGGAAACUGGCAUGCUAGAGUGCCGGAGAGGUAAGCGGAAUUCCUAGUGUAGCGGUGAAAUGCGUAGAUAUUAGGAGGAACACCAGUGGCGGAGGCGGCUUACUGGACGGUAACUGACGCUGAGGCUCGAAAGCGUGGGGAGCAAACAGG